GACGAAGGGGGCUAGCGUUGUUCGGAAUUACUGGGCGUAAAGCGAGUGUAGGUGGUUGUCCAAGUUGGAUGUGAAAGCCUUGAGCUCAACUCAAGAAAUGCAUUCAGGACUGGGCGGCUAGAGGACCGGAGAGGAUAGUGGAAUUCCCAGUGUAGUGGUGAAAUACGUAGAGAUUGGGUAGAACACCAGUGGCGAAGGCGGCUAUCUGGACGGUUACUGACACUAAGACUCGAAAGCGUGGGGAGCAAACAGG
rnacentral:rRNA from 1 species